CAGAAAUCCUAAUUAGUUAACAAUCGAUCUUUAGCUUAGAGAUUUUAGGAGCGAUGCUUAGGUAACAUGUGUCAGCUUGUGAGCAAAAUUUUAGAAAGAAAAAAAAAGCCCUGUUUUUUUUUUGUUUAACCUAGUCGUUUUUUCUCUCUCUUUUCUGCGAUAUCACUUGGGGUGCAGGAGGAUCCACCGCCGGCUUCGAGGAUACAGAAUGUGAUUUGCGUCGAGACUAUGAUGCAUCUCACUUGUACCAACAUGAUUGUCGAGAAGAUUGACCACGCUCUUGAGACGAUUAGAUCUAAUGGGAUUCAGAAUGUGCUUGCUCUUAGAGGAGAUCCUCCUCAUGGACAAGAUAAAUUCGUUCAGGUUGAAGGAGGUUUUGCUUGUGCUUUGGAUCUGGUCAAUCAUAUUUGGAGCAAAGGCUCAUCCGGAUGUUAUUGAAGCUAAUGGACUUGCUACUCCUGAAUCUUAUCAGAGUGAUCUUGCUUACCUGAAGAAAAAGUGAAACAUGUUGAUGUUGGAGCAGAUUUGAUUGUUACCUAGCUUUUCUAUGAUACUGAUAUCUUCCUCAAAUUUGUGAAUGACUGUUGGCAAAUUGGGAUCAAGACCAAGGUAUGUUAUGAUCUCUUACAUGAUUCAUGAUCGGGCUUGCUCUGUAGAAAAAUGUUGUCUUUGUGCUUUAAGGCUGAUCGAUCCAUGGAUUUGAUCCCGUUGAGAGUGACAAGCACGACAAUGAUCGAUCCAUGGAUUUGUAUGAAAUGUGUGAGUGUGAAUAUAACUCUGAUCAUCAAUUCAUCAUCUUAUCUUGAAAACAACAGCUAGGUUGGUCCACUGUCCACACAUCUUAUAACCAUACCAUUAUUAUUAAGCGUAGACAUAUUCGUCUUGAUCUCUAACAAAAUAACAAAACCAUUAUUAUUGUUUGUUUGGGUUUUCUUUUCUUCUGUGUGUUUAAACUGUGUAUGUAUACGUUGGUGAUAUAUACACACAGAAAUUUUCAUAGUUAAAAAUUGAGUUUGCAUUUUGUGUUGAGGAGUACAAAUCAUUAUUCUGCCGUUUAAUGUUCGUCCUAUUCCCACUAUCUCAGCCGUAUGCACAAGUAAGUAACCAACCUUUGUUUUGUUUUUUUUGUUUUUUCUGGUUUGAAUUUUGGUCAAUCUUUUGUUCCACCAAGUUAAUAUUAGUUCAACACACGAAUGAAUGCUUUAAUGUUUUUCUUGUUGAAUUAAGUCACAUCAUUAUUUAGUGAACCAUUCAACCAAAUUUUUGCAGUGUGAUAAAUGGUUGGUUGUAUGUUAUUAGGUAAAAACUUAUGUCCACCAUUGAUUGCUACUUAUGUGACUUUUAACCAUAAACUUCAAUUAAAUCUCUUGUUAUAUAGAUAAAUUCUUCUUACUCUUCCUUCUUCUUCAACCAUAAACUAUUCUUGUUACUCUUCUUUCUCCUUUAAUUACAAACCAUAAAAACUCUUUCUAUCUCUUCCGUCUCCUUUAAACACCAACGACAAACACUCUUUCUUUCUCUUCCUUCUCCUUUAACCACCAACCAAAAACUUGACUAUGGAACCAUCUAGUGACAUGUUAGGUUUUAUGGAUCUUUUAACUAGUCAAACCACAACCAACACUGUCGAAGCCAAUGACUAUGAUGAGGUUCCAAGCGAAGGUGAACACCAACCUAAGGAGCGUCAACAAAGAAGGAAAUGGUCUCAGAAAGAAGAUUUGAUUCUCAUCGGUGCUUGACUCAACACUAGCAAGGAUGCCAUUAUUUCUAAUGACCAAAAAUGCAAUAAUUUUUGGUCACGCAUAGCAGAUUAUUAUGCUGCUAGUCCUAAGCUUGCUGGUGUGGAUAAGAGAGAGGCCAAGCACUGCAAAAAAAGGUGGCAGAAGAUCAAUGAGACGGUUUGCAAGUUUUUUGGAAGCUAUGAGGCUGAAACAAAACAGAAAACUAGUGGCCAAAAUGAGGAUGAUGUGAUUAAAUUGGCUUACCAUAUAUUCUUCAACGAUUGCAAUGUGCAGUUCACACUUGAGCAUGCUUGGAGAGAGCUUCGCCAUGAUCAGAAAUAGUGUGGAGCUUCUACUAAAAAAGGUACUGGAGCUUCUAAGAGAAGAAAACAUGAUGACCAUCCUUCACAGUCAUCAACCUCAGUUCCAGCGAAUGUGGAAGAAGAAGCUCGUCCUCCAGGUGUUAAGGCAGCAAAGGCCAAGGGUAAAAAGGUGUUGAGCAAGCCAAAUAUUGUGGAAGAAGAAGGCGCUUCGCUUGAGGAGUUUCAGAGCAUGUGGGAGAUAAGGCAAAAAGAAUUUGAUUUGAAAGAGAAGCAAAGUAUGAUCAAAGAGAAGCAAACAAUGCAUAAAAUGCUUGACCGUCUUCUAGCUAAAACGGAGCCGCUUCCAGAAAUGGAAUUAGCUUUAAAGAAUAAGCUAAUUAGUGACAUGUUGUCAAGUUAGUUUGAGUUUAUGUUAAGGUUUACAUUGCUUGUAUGUUAUUCCUUUCAGUUCUGUUUUAUGCUAUGAGUUGUAUAUCUGUUUUAUGGUAUGAGUUGAAUUGAUGUUUAUGUUUGAAUUCAACUUGUUUGGUUUAUAAUGACAGUCGGUUGGUUAUGUAUAUGUUAUGUUUAACUGUUAACAGUUUGAGUUGGAGUUUUUGUAUGAACAAGUUUGGUUGUUGUAUUGGCGACUAUAACAGGUACAUGCAUUUGGGACAUUUGAAAGAGACCGUGAGGGGUACAUGCAUUUGGGACUGUAGAAGACAAGAAGAAAAGGAGCAGAAGACAAGGGGAAGAACAAGGCCAGCCACAAGUUUUGUGAGUUGGACACUAGGUUACGGAUGUUGAAGAAGUAGACAAGAAGAGAACAAAGCCAGCCAUAAGUUAUUGUUACUCUUUUGCACAUGGUCAUGGAUGUAUGUACUAUAUGUACUUUGUAUUAUAGACACCACAAAUUUUACAAGCAAUGUAAACCACAAUUUUUUUUUACAAUCUCCUCUAUAUAAGUGACAUGAAGAGUUUAUCAAUAUGGAUUCACAUUUCAUUGUCUUUUUUUACAAUCUCUCACGAUACAAUAUUUUCCAGUUGCAUCUUUUUCUCCUUUCUUUAUCCACCAAAAACUUUUAAAAUAUAUAUUUUUCUCCUUUCUUUGGUGAAAUGGUAUCUUCUUCUAAUAAUAUUGAAGAAAGGAUGGAUGACUACUUUGAUCAAGCAUUUGAUAAUUUUUUUGAUAAAGCAUUCGAGAAUCGUUUCAACCAAGCAUUCAAUGAUCAACAAGAAGCAACCACAGAGAAGCCAAAACGAUCCUUCAUUGAAAGAGACCGUGAAGGUGGUCACAGACGCUUAUGGGAAGAUUAUUUCUCGACGAUGCAACAUAUCCUCCUCACCUCUUUUGUCGCCGUUUUAGAAUGAACAAAGCCUUGUUCUUGCGUAUCGUUGAACGACUCUCUGCUGAAGUUCCAUACUUUCGACAACGACAAGAUGCUACUGGAAGGUUCGGUCUCUCUGCACUACAAAAAUCUACAGCAGCAAUUCGUAUGAUGGCAUAUGGUUGUGCAGCUGAUGCAGUUGACGAAUACCUCCAGCUUGCUGAAAGCACUGCGAUGUUAUGCUUGGAACAGUUCAUUGAAGGAGUCAUUAAUUUAUUUGGAGAUGAGUACCUCCAAAGACCCACAGUAGAAGAUCUUCAAUGACUACUCGUUAUUGGAGAGUGGCGCGGAUUUCCCGGAAUGAUAGACAGCAUAGAUUAUAUGCAUUGGGAGUGGAAGAAUUGCCCGACCGCAUGGAAAGGUCAAUCCACACGUGGAUCUGGAAAGCCAACAAUUGUUUUAGAGGUUGUACAUUCACAAGACCUCUGGAUAUGGCACGCACAUAUUUUUUGGACCUCCAUGUACAUUAAAUGAUAUUAAUGUUCUCGAUCGCUCACUUGUUUUUGAUGACAUAUUACAAGGUAUAGCUCCCAAAGUGAAAUACUUUGUCAAUGGACGAGCCUAUCAUAUGGCUUACUAUCUUACAUAUGGUAUU